AACGAACGCUGGCGGCAUGCCUAACACAUGCAAGUCGAACGAGACCUUCGGGUCUAGUGGCGCACGGGUGCGUAACGCGUGGGAACCUGCCCUUAGGUUCGGAAUAACUCCCCGAAAGGGGUGCUAAUACCGGAUAAUGUCUUCGGACCAAAGAUUUAUCGCCUUUGGAUGGGCCCGCGUUGGAUUAGCUAGUUGGUAGGGUAAAAGCCUACCAAGGCGACGAUCCAUAGCUGGUCUGAGAGGAUGAUCAGCCACACUGGGACUGAGACACGGCCCAGACUCAUACGGGAGGCAGCAGUGGGGAAUAUUGGACAAUGGGCGAAAGACUGAGCAAGCAAUGCCGCGUGAGUGAUGAAGGCCUUAGGGUUGUAAAGCUCUUUUACCAGGGAUGAUAAUGACAGUACCGGGAGAAUAAGCUCCGGCUAACUCCGUG
rnacentral:rRNA from 1 species